GGGACGAGGCUAUCGCAAGUGAUACAAGGCAUGGAAUUUCACGAUCUCCCACGAACAAACCUGUCUCUAGACACUCGAGAUAAGUUUUUAGAUGAUCAAUUCGCUUUGCUAGGUAACAUGGUCGGGGAUGAACUUAAAUUGCAGAUUUGCUGCCUCUCAGUUGAAGAAACUCUCAUUGCACUCCAUUUAGCAUAUUCCAUCAUCAACCCUGAUUGAUAUUGUCUGUGUUUUAGCUGAAGAACUGCAGGAGCGGGACGGAGAAUCGGCUCCUCUUUUGACUGUGCCCCUUAUUUUGCGGUCAAUUUCCGAGUCCUUGCGGAAAAUUGCUGUGAAAAUACUCGAGUUUACUCGUCGGAGGUCCUUUUCUUUGUCUGUCUUAUUUGUAUGUUCAUCUUCUUUUGUGAUUGUUUGUCCUGAAACAGAUGUUAUCUGGAACAGACAUAGAGAGGUCUGUGUACAUCCCGAAGACCGUUGUAGCUCAAAAAGUUUCGAGCAUCUUGUUUAGCCUUUGGUAUCCGAAUAAUCUGUCGACAAACCCCUCCCCCAGCAACUGUUGUGAAGUGGUCCAUGUCGAACCAGUCCCCCGAUUUCCACUUUUUCAAGUCCAAUAAAGCCACUAUUUUUUUUUUAAUAAUUUCAUGAGUGUCGCAGGUAAAAUCACUGGGAACUUCUCAACUGACUUAUCCUGGUAGAUUUUCUCGGAUUCUUCUAUAAUAGUAUAAGACUAUUAGCGACUUGACAUGAUUUUCUUUCGAGGUAGUCAAGUUCAAUUCUGGAUGUCUGUCCAUAUCAUGAAUUGAAUUGAAAUUGGCACAUAUGUACUCUGAAGUGUUGCAUUUAUAAAUCAAGGAGAGCCAUACGGACUUUGACCAGAAAUUCCCAUUGGCUCUUUGUUUUUGCUUCUUUUCUCCAGUGGUUUAUACAUAUUCAUAUCUUGUUCUGACUCUGUAUUUUAAUCGAUGCGGCCUACAUCGACACUAGAGUUAACCAAGAUAUCUGGGCAUUAUUCGGCUUUUCUUGAAGUAGUCAUUGCUUUUCCUUUUAGUAGAAAAGGACAUUUCAAUAUAGAAUGCCUGUGUUUAUUGACUUGAUAUAAUCACCCAAUCCUUGGAUACAGUUGGCCAGAAAAUAAUCUGUGAUAAUCAAAUCAAAAACCCAAGGGGACCUGCAUUACACUGUGGACUAUCAAAUAAACCUAUAUAGGUGUGUGCGCACACAAUAUGUAUAUGUAAUCAUAUGGAGGGACGGUAUGAAGUCGACAGAUCUCUGUUUAUUUUUGUAGCUUCCUUGAAUUGGUCCUUAUGAGGACGAUGCUAAAUAAGAUGUCUGGUAAAUACAUUGAAUGAACCUAUAUAGGUGUGUGUGCACACAAUAUGUACAUGUAAUCAGAUGGACUGUAUGAAGUUCACAGAUCUUAGAUUAUCAUUGUAGCUUUUCUUGAAUUGGUCUUCAUGAGGAUGAUGCUGCCUCUGGUGCAUACAUAACAUUGCGCCAAGUAACUCUCCUAUAAACUGAGCAUACAGUGCCAGAUCAUGGCAUCAUUUUAUUGUGUUGUUAGACAGAUCAUGCUCCUUCGCCUUAUGGAGAAAAAGAAACAGGGCAUAAGUUGAAGUUGAACUUGUCCUUGCAUGGUGUUUCCUUGAGUAGUAUAAUAUGUCUGAACUCUGAACUGCUAAAAGAGACCGUCUAGUUCUUUAUGCAGAAACUAAGUUCUGACCUUUUGAAACUUGAAAGAAUGCUAUGCUUCUCUUCAGCAGGAUACUAAAGUCAAAUCUUUCGAAAGUUGCGACGUGAUUGCUCCACAAGACGAAGCUAUUGGCGCAAAAAAAGCUUAUAAAAAUUUCUACCUUUGUGGUAGCUUGGGAAGCAAUCAAUUAGUUCCUCGCUUUUCUCACUCUCUUUCUUGAUUUGUUGUUGUUUUAGGAAAGUGACAAAGUGCAUGUCCAUUA